UACGAAGGGGGCUAGCGUUGUUCGGAAUUACUGGGCGUAAAGCGCGCGUAGGCGGUAAUCUUUGUCAGAGGUGAAAGCCUGGAGCUCAACUCCAGAAUUGCCUUUGAAACGGGAUUGCUAGAGUCCGAGAGAGGAUGGCGGAAUUCCUAGUGUAGAGGUGAAAUUCGUAGAUAUUAGGAAGAACACCGGUGGCGAAGGCGGCCAUCUGGCUCGGUACUGACGCUCAGGCGCGAAAGCGUGGGGAGCAAACAGG
rnacentral:rRNA from 1 species